rnacentral:lncRNA from 1 species
GUUUUAUGGGUAGCACGACAGGCUGUGUUUGACGGAUGGUGCGAUCUUCCUUUGUUGUACGGACGACUAUUUGAAGAAGCACGUUUUUUCCAAACGAACGGACGGAGAGUUACAUUAGAGAGACAAACAAGGUUACAGAAUAGUUGUUUAAGAUUUGAAAUACUGAAGAUUUAAGAUUAAAGACUGAAGAAGAAAGAUAGGUAGCUCAGGACAUUGAAAAUCGAUUCUCCAUUUUCAGAAUCAAUCCCUGAAUUAUCCAAUUAUUGAACCUUAUAAAUCGAUUUUGCCCACGUCAUGGCGCUGAAAGUUAACCUACGCGUCGUCAUGACCGAGAACGCGAAAGGGGAGAAGAUAGAGAGUAUAGAAUCUAUCAGAAGACCAGAAGACGAAAUGUGCUAUAUUUCCCCUCCCCCUGGAAUAUCAAAAAAGAAAGUACCAUCGACAAUUAUUCAGUUUACCAACAGUGAAAAAGACCGCAAACAGUCUAACCAAGAGGAAGCACAAAUAAACUCCACAAGAAAAAACAAAGACGAAUAUCAAGACACCCAACCUGGACAUGGAAAAACUUCUAGAGACCCUCCAAAGACGAGAUAAGAGGAAAAUAGAGAAAAUAAACUUCAAUAUAGAACAAUUUGAAGGAACUCAAAAAGCCACAAACUGGAUAUCAAAGUAUGACGAGGAAUGCAAAAAAUACAAAAUAAAAAGCAACGAGGAAAAAGUCAAAGGUUUAAGACAGUAUCUAGGAAAAACAGCAGAAAGACGGUACCAAACAAAUCUACUGAAAGCUGAAGGACACAACUGGGAAGAUUGGAAAGUAGCAUUUCUCAAAACCUUUAAGAAUAAAGGUUGGCCAGCAAUAUGAUAUGCUUACAACUUUAAAUAUUUUUCAGGUUCAUUCACAGAAUAUGCAAUAGAGAAAAAACGACUAAUAUUGGAAGUAAAAAGGAAAAUGCCUGAAGAUGUGAGGAUACACCUGAUUGUCAUUGGACUAUCUAUCGAAGACAAAACCAAGACAAAAUCGAAAGAGAAAAUAUACAGACAACAAAUGACCUAAUGGGAAUUUUGGGACAAUAUGAAGACUGCAGAAAAAGGAAAGAAACACAAGAAAGAAAGAUAGACCUGGUUAAAAAGAUCAUAAACCAUUGGAAUCAUUGAGAAUCAAGGCAAGAACUGAUGAAACCUUAGGAGACCUGAUACACUACUUGUCGCAGUACUACUUCAAGAUCAUGCUCCAGGAAAACACAACAUGGAGGCAGACGCACUAUCCAUGAACCCCAUCUUAGAAAGCUUUGAGAAUGAGGAAGAUGUUUUCAAAGUAGCAAAUAUUGUAAAAAAACAAGACAUAAUCCGAGAUCAAAAAGAAAACAGAGAAGAUAUUAAAAAUACAAAAGACCUUAUAAAAAAUCAGAGAUUUUUUUUUUAAAUAUUAAAGGACGCCAACCUAUAUUCAUUUCACAAGAGUUUGGUGAACAUAAAACAUAAGGAAGGUUCAUGAUUUCUUUGGUCACAUUGGAAGAAACCAUAUACUGAAGAAAAUCCGACCCUUUUAUUAUUUCAAAAAGAUGUACCGAAUCGUCGACAAAUUCUGCAAACAUUGCGAAAUUUGCAUCAGAAAUAAAAGCAGAACGAGAAGACCGAUCGGUUUUAUGUCGAAACUAGGACCAGCUAGGAAACCGUUUGGAAUAAUGCCAUUCGAUAUGGAGAUUUUUCCAAUAACAACUCACCAAAGAAAUACAUGCACAUACAUACUCAUCGAUCAUUUUUCAAGGGCUGUUUUUGUGUCCAUAUCGGAAACACAACGCUCAGAAGAUAUCAUAAAACUUAUAGACUCGACAGGAGAAACUGAUCCCAUAAAACCCAGUAAUGACAUCCAAAGAAAUUGAAAAGUAUGCGAGAAAAAGGAACUUUAAAUUGAUUUUCACCUCCACAGACUGUCCAUCCUCCAAUGGACUGAACGACAGGGUAAAUCAAACAUUAAUGUAAAGUAAACAGGAUCAGAUGUAAGAUCAAUUCAGACAAAAAUAAGAGAAACUGGACAAAGAUCGCAGAAGAAAGCUUAGAAGAAUACAAUAACACCAGACACACUUUAACGGGAUUUGCCCUAAAUCACUUACUGUAUGGAAAAAUGAUCGAAAUCACCCCAAGGGAAUAACGGAGAAUAAGAUAAAUCUAAAAAGAGACAGAGAAGAAGCAUUCAAAAAUUCAGCAAGAAAUUUCGAAGUCGACAAACAAAAAUACGAUAAAAAAAAGAGGAGAACACGAAUUUAAAAUUGGUGAUAUGGUCUUCACCCACAAUGGAAACAAACUACAUAGAAAUAAGCUGGAAGAAAUUAGGAAAGGACCCUUCAAAAUUCCAAGAAGGAUUUCAAACUCCAUAUAUGAAGUGGAUAACGGUAAUCCGAGGUCUGAAGGGAAUCUCUUCCACUCGAGUAAGCUGUCCCCUUACAGAGAAGACAAUUAACGACGUAAUUGUCAACACGAGGAGGGGAGGUGUAAACUCCCCAGGGGAGUUUAUGUAGGAUAGAGAUUCUGUUUGUUUUAGGGGUAGCACGACAGACUGUGUUUCACGGACAGACUGAUCUUCUUUUGUUUUACGGACGACCUUUUUAAGAACCACGUGUUCCCUAAACGGAGGGACAGAGAGUUACAUUAGAGACAGACAAGAUUACAGAAUAGUUGUUUAAGAUUUUAAAGACUGAAGAAGAAAGAUUGGUAGCUCAGGACGUUGAAAAUCGAUUCUCGAUUUUCAGGUAAACAUUGUACUAAAGACUUGUUAUUUCCCGUUUAUAUAAUUAUUGUUAUUUAUUGUUAUAGACGCAUAU